rnacentral:rRNA from 1 species
GACGGGGGGGACUAGUGUUAUUCAUCCUAACUGGGCGUAAAGGGCAUGUAGGCGGUUUGUUAUGUUUUUAGUAAAAUUCUUGGGCUCAACCCAAGGCUGACUUUUUAAACUGAUAAACUUGAGUUUAUUUGAGCAAAACGGUACAUAUAGUGUAAAGGUGAAAUUUGUAGAAAUUAUAUGGACCACCAACGGGCGAAGGCGGUUUUGCAAAUAUUAACUGACGCUAAAGUGCAAAAGCAUGGGGAGCGAACAGG